ensembl:lncRNA
AUGAUAUUUAUUUCAAAUUAUUAAAAAAACCCUAACCCAAAAACUGGUGUUAUAUUUAGUGUACCAGAUGUUUUAUGCACUCUAGUGCCUCACUCUGAUUUGCAUUUAUGGUUUCUUUUAACCUUUAGCCUCUCUGCUCUGCAUGUUUUCUUCUUUCAGACCAGAAAACCAUCACAACUGAGACUGGACAGACAUGUCGAGCUCCAACUAAUAAUGAGCAGAUCUUGGCUGUGCAGUGGAGCAGAGCUGACCUGAAGGAAAAAUAUGUCCUUUUGUACAGAGAUGAGCUGUUUGUUCCAGAUGACCAGCAUUCAUCUUUUAAGAACCGGGUGGAUCUGCAGGACAGACAGAUGAAGGAUGGAGACGUGUCUUUGAUUCUGAGGGAUGUGAUGAUUAACGACACUGGAACAUGAGUGUCGCGUCUUCAGGAGAGACAAACGAUAAAAGGAGAGCUGUACAGCCCAUCAGCACCAUAUACCUGAGUGUUGUUCCUCCAGGUCUACCAGAAGGAUGCACAAGGGAUGGAGGGAAAGAGGAAGAACUCAGUAGAGGACAUUUUGGACUGAUAACAGUUCUGUCUAUUAUUGCUGUGAUAGCUACAAUUGUGAUUUGUAAGAAGCAACAGAAUAACUCCUCCACCCCCCAUCCUGAUGAACACAUCUGAAACAAAGCAGCUUAUUAACAAAGCACAAAGGCACCAAAACAAUACUGGCACAUAUAUUCCUUAAGCACGAGCUGGUGUUCAACUUGGAAUGGUCCAGUGGCUAAUUGGAUUAAAACAAACAAAAAAAACUAUACAAACAACAACAAAAACCCAAAAACCAAACCCUCAAUGGCAAGAAACAUGAAGAACUCAUGAAAUGUCAACAAACACACAUGUUUUGGCUUUUGUAUCCAUUUAAUUUCCUUUGCUUAUCUACUGCACUGUAAAUGUGGCCAAAACACAGUCAAGACCCCUGUAAAGAAAUGUGGAAAACAAAUAUUGGUUACAGUUCUUGAUUUCAUGAUGAGUCUUAUCUGUUCUGUUUUUUUUUUGUUUUUUUUGUUGUUGUUGUUUGUUUGUUUGUUUUUUCAAUGUGGAAUAUGUUAUUCACACUGUAUCAUAAUCUCUAAGCUUUAUAGGAAAACUGGCCCCGUCUUCCAUCCUUUUAUCUGAAUUUCCUGUCUGAGUGACCUCAUGUUACUGCCCUGGGCCUCGGAGAGAGUCCAAGGCUGUGUCCCAAUUCAGGGUCUGCACGUUUGAAGUACGCAUUUCAAGUGCGAUUACGUCACCGCCACGCGACGACGGCUGUCCCAAUUCAAAGUGCACUUCAAAUGCAUACUCCAAAUGCGCCGUCGAUUUCCCCAAAUAUCAAGCGUGGUCCGGUGCACGCUUCGUGGCCCCAUAUAUCCCACAAUCCAUAGCGCGGCGGUGGGUGUGGAUAAUUUUGCCGCAAAAUACGGCAGAAGGGAGCGGCCGAAGGGUGAACUGUCAGAAGUAAGUACUGAAUAUGAUGUCACUUAUUUAUGUGCGAAUGUUUAAGAACAUUAAAACAUUACUGUUGGCCACAUGUCGGCAAAGUUAUGUGACAUUAGUGAUGUUUGUACUUUCAGCGGUAACUUGGUUUUAAAGCCUCUAUGUCUAAAUAUAUAUAUAGCUGACCUUAAUCUUACAGAGAAUGUGAUGAUUUUAUGGAUAAUUAAAGUCAGUCAUAUAUCCACAAACACAACAAGCUGAAAGUCAGUGAUGCUGCUCGGUUUGCAGUCCUGAAUAUGACGGCACAAGCAGGAUUCACUGCACUGUUAAUGUUAGCUAUGUUAUAUUGCUGCCUCUGUUCGGUGGUGUCGAGCCAAACGGACUUUAACGUGUGUUUGAACGAGCUGACGGUUCACUCGUUAAGCUGAAAGAAAGAUGCUUUAAUCACAGGAGUCACACAUGUGUCCACUGGACCAUCUGGGAACUCUUCUUGUUUAGCACUCGUAAUAACACAAACACUAAAUCCUCCUUCUCUUGUGCUGUUUUGUAGCAGUGUGUACACCUGAGACUGUCACCUGUCUGUCUGUCCUGCACUCUCUCUCUGUUUCUUUCUCUCUGAUUGUGGAAUAAAAGUAUGAACAUGUAUUUAUAAGUUACACUUGUGUUUGAAUCCUGCAGCUUAUCACACAUUUGAUUUCCAUGUGUGACGACUGCAAGUGUCCAGAGUGAGGACAGACUGAGGGACCCACUGCUGCACAUCAUCUGUGAGGCUUUGCACCCCUGAUGAUCCACCAGGACAAACUCAGCAGUGUGUGAGGAAGAGGAGGAGGAAGAGCCAGCAGCAGCUGACAGAUGGAGAGAAUAGACAGACUGUUCCCUGUUUGUGAAGGACUGCUAGGAAAGUUUAACAUCACUAAUUGUCUGUCCUGAAUCAGUCUUAUUAGGUAAUGUUCAAAUAAUGUUAUCAUCCCAGUGUUUUCAGUGUGGGAGAAAGCACUCAGGGCCUUCAAGUUACACACUAUGAAAGGCAGCAACAAGUUUAAUAUUCAGAAACCUAAAGUAUGUAUCAGCAGCAGAAUGGAGCAAAAAUAAAUGUUUGUUUCAGUUCUAUGAAGCUUUGAGUAUUUUGGAUUAGUAGCACUGCUGUGUUUGUUGCAUCAUAUUGCUGUAAUUGUUUAUAUGCUUUAUAUAUUCUGAGCUAAGUUGAUCUAUAGUGUUACAUCAUAUUCUAUAAGGAUGUUAUGUGUUUGUUUACUUUCUGCCCAGUUUGACCCAUUUAGCAGAAGUCAGCCUGUUUAAGGCUCUGAUAUCUAUUCUGUAUGACUUAAAGCAGUUAUGACAUGGUCUGAUUUUCUCACCCAAUAAAGGAAUAUUUCAUAUAUCAGUCUGAUCUUCAUUCUAUCAGAAACAGUUAUCACAGCUCGUACAUUUUCUUUUUACACAGAUAUGUAAGCAUUGAGCCAAAUUUAGUAAUGCCAACAUAUUGAAAGAACAAUGUUUGUCUCUUAUAUAUAAUACAUCUGUAUAUACACUGUCACAGAUACUUGUCUUUGAGUGAAGAUUUAAGGUGAUAGGAAAUAUAAAUAACUGCAACUUGCAUCUUUGACCCAGAGUUCAAGCUCAUAUAUAUAUGUAUAUAUAUAUAUAUAUAUAUAUAUAUAUAUAUAUAUAUAUAUAUAUAUAUAUAUAUAUAUAUCAUCUGACAAUACAUAUAAUAUUGUCCAUAUUAUAUUAACAUUACCACAGUGAGAUGACUUUAGUCUCAUGAACAACAUUAGCUAAUUAUCAUUUACUAACUAAUCUUAAAUGACUGUUCAGUACAGAAAUGAAGCCCAACUAUCAUGUUUUACAGUCCUGUGGUCUCAACUAAUCAAAGUGAUGUCAUGACAAAAAUGAAGGACCAACAAAACAUUUUUUCUCCUUCAUUCUGUCACACAAAGCUGUAUGAAACGUUUCUCGCGGUUAGUAUCAUGGUUGCUAGGCAACCUGAACAGCGCGACGAAGACUAGACCGUCCCAUUUCACAAGCCUCUCACUUCCGCACUUCCCGUACUUGUAGUACGCACCGUACGUAGUACGCGUAGUGUGCGUACUUCAAGCGUGCAGACCCUGAAUUGGGACACAGCCCAAGAGUGCCAGGACUCUCUGACGAUUGGCUAGCGGGAGACUUGUGCCAGCCCCUGUGCAUGCAGAUGGCACUGUGUCAACCCACAUAGGUGAUUGGCUGCCUGGGGAUCCUGUGGCACUCCGUGAAGCAAUCAGUGGCUGAUCGUGCUCACCUGCCGCUGCGAAAGACUGGAAAUCCUUCACUCAGGGCAGCUGCUUUGGAGAGCUUGUACAGCUUGAACUUUGCGGCUUACCCCUGUAUAUGGUUGAGCUUAGCCUGUUUAGAGUUGUCAUUUGUUUUACUCACCAGUGUUUGCCUAAUGAGUUAAUUGGUUGCCCAGUUGCAUGUUGAACACAGCCCUGUCGG